UACGAAGGGGGCUAGCGUUGCUCGGAAUCACUGGGCGUAAAGGGUGCGUAGGCGGGUCUUUAAGUCAGGGGUGAAAUCCUGGAGCUCAACUCCAGAACUGCCUUUGAUACUGAAGAUCUUGAGUUCGGGAGAGGUGAGUGGAACUGCGAGUGUAGAGGUGAAAUUCGUAGAUAUCGGGAGGAACACCAGUGGCGAAGGCGGCGACCUGGACAGAUAUUGACGCUGAGGUGCGAAAGCGUGGGGAGCAAACAGG
rnacentral:rRNA from 1 species